GACGGAGGGGGCUAGCGUUGUUCGGAAUUACUGGGCGUAAAGAGCGCGUAGGCGGUUUAGUAAGUUGGAAGUGAAAGCCCGAGGCUUAACCUCGGAAUUGCUUUCAAAACUGCUAGGCUAGAGUGUAGUAGGGGAUGAUGGAAUUCCUAGUGUAGAGGUGAAAUUCUUAGAGAUUAGGAGGAACACCGGUGGCGAAGGCGGUCAUCUGGGCUACAACUGACGCUGAGGCGCGAAAGCGUGGGGAGCAAACAGG
rnacentral:rRNA from 1 species